GAUGAACGCUGGCGGCGUGCCUAAUACAUGCAAGUCGAGCGAACAGACGAGGAGCUUGCUCCUCUGACGUUAGCGGCGGACGGGUGAGUAACACGUGGAUAACCUACCUAUAAGACUGGGAUAACUUCGGGAAACCGGAGCUAAUACCGGAUAACAUGUUGAACCGCAUGGUUCAACAGUGAAAGACGGUCUUGCUGUCACUUAUAGAUGGAUCCGCGCCGCAUUAGCUAGUUGGUAAGGUAACGGCUUACCAAGGCAACGAUGCGUAGCCGACCUGAGAGGGGGAUCGGCCACACUGGAACUGAGACACGGUCCAGACUCCUACGGGAGGCAGCAGUAGGGAAUCUUCCGCAAUGGGCGAAAGCCUGACGGAGCAACGCCGCGUGAGUGAAGAAGGUCUUCGGAUCGUAAAACUCUGUUAUUAGGGAAGAACAAAUGUGUAAGUAACUAUGCACGUCUGGACGGUACCUAAUCAGAAAGCCACGGCGAACUACGU
rnacentral:rRNA from 1 species